GGGGAUGUAGCUCAGUUGGUAGAGUGCCUGCCUCUCUUGCACAAGGCCCUGGGUUCAAUCCCCAGCACCACCA
rnacentral:tRNA from 1 species